rnacentral:rRNA from 1 species
UACGUAGGGUGCAAGCGUUUAAUCGGAAUUACUGGGCGUAAAGCGUGCGCAGGCGGUUAUGUAAGACAGUUGUGAAAUCCCCGGGCUCAACCUGGGAACUGCAUCUGUGACUGCAUAGCUAGAGUACGGUAGAGGGGGAUGGAAUUCCGCGUGUAGCAGUGAAAUGCGUAGAUAUGCGGAGGAACACCGAUGGCGAAGGCAAUCCCCUGGACCUGUACUGACGCUCAUGCACGAAAGCGUGGGGGAGCAAACAGG